CCCUUCCUUCCUUCAAGGAGAAGGUGCCCUCGGUCACCGACGGGAAGAUGAAGCCUUUCAUCGGGUCACAGGAUGGCUGGUGGAGAACCUUGUGCUUGCAGAAGUGUGCCCCGGAGGAGAGAAGCAAGCAGAUGGUACCUCCGGCUCCAAAGCUUUUCCCAGAUUGUAACCCACUCCUUGAAAGUGCUUGCAGGCUUUCCCUGGAGGAUGUCGUCUACAAAUAUAAUAAGCACCACCUUCAUCUUUUUGUGCCCUUCUGGAAUAAUAUCCAAUGUCCCUGUGUCAACGAAACCUAUUCAGUUUCUCUACUAACUUUGACAACUUUGCUGCUGGUACUUUGAAGAUCAUCCGGUGACUUUUGCAGAGUAUCUGAACAGUGGGAUACAGGAACCCUUGGAGCGGUGGUAAUAACCUUUGUGAAGAUAGCCCUGCACCAUCCUUGUUCCCUAAUAUAGCAGCACCAAUCAGAGCAUCAAAUCCCUCCCAGGCUCUUCACACUGAACUGGCAGCAGAGCCUGCCUCUUUGGAGGGCACCCCCGUGAGCAGUUUGAGAGCAGCUGGUGCACUCCAGAAGCAAAUUCUGCCUUUGUUUCCAUCCAAAAGGAAUCUAAUUCAUGUGCCCCAGAAGAUGAACCAGAGCAUGACCAUCGGGAGAUUCGCUUUGAAAGGAUUUGUUUGACCCAAACAGAAAGGGUAAUGUAGACACACCACUAAACUGCUGUCGAAAUGAAGAUCAGACUGGCGUAUGAUCCCCCGAAAGCCCCUUCAGUAGAGUAUUGGAAACAAUGUGACAAAAUCUCAAAACUCUGUGACAGCGACACUUCGCAAGCAAUUUAAGGUGGUGAAUGCUCUGGCAUCUUGUGGAAAACUUGCACAACUUUCACAAUUAGAUCUUCAAGGAUCACACUGAAUGGUGAUUGGCAAGUAAUCCUCCUCCGAAGCUACUGGGAAGCUGCAAUGUUGCUCCACAGAGCCUGUUUCAGCUCAGCAGCAGCACACCAGGUACUCCCUACCAUCGCUCACAGCAUACCUUCUGGGUUUGCCGACGUCUCCUGCUCUCCUGCACUCUUCACCCUGCUCAUCUGAGAGUCUGGGGAACUGGGAGCCCACCUUGAUGACCACAGGCCUGGUGUCCUUGCCUUCCUCUCUGCACAGGAAAAAUAAAAAGGUUUUAUUGCUCCAGUGGAUACCUCAGUAACUGCUGAGACAGGGCUCCAGAUUCCUCUCAUCGGAGAUAGGAGAGAAGAUAUUUAAACAGACAGACAUUUAAAACAACACCACCACCAGCAGCAGCAACAACAACAUCUGCUCUCUAAUGCGAUACAGAAGGCCUGCUAGUUGCUCUGGUUUCCUUACAUUUUAAUGCAGGAGAGGGAAGGGAGUCCAGGCUCUGCUAUUGCCUGUGCCAGCAGCACAGGUGUGUGGAAAUCAACUUUCCUGUAAGAAAAGAAGCAAUCUGUGGGACAAAGCAGGGAAAACAAAAAUAUACUACCCACAAAACAUGUAAUGUUUCUAGGAAACUGAAAGUGACAGUAUCAAUUCAGAUAGCAACUUCUCUUUGUAAAAUAACACCCUUUAAUAGCAAAGGAAUAGGACCAUCGGCUUUACAGCGCGGGGGAGGGAAGAAAAAAAGGCUUUACAAAGUCUGUUGUCCAAGGGAAAAAUGUCAUCUUGGCUUCUUCAAAGGUCAUCCUUGCAGAGCUUGUUAUCAACAGACAGCUUUCUAAAAAUAAUGCAGCAAGUAGGAUCGCUAUCAGAGACAGGUAGAAAAUAACCCUGACAUUAGUCUAUCCUGCUCAGAAAGUCUAAGUGUGCUAAAUUUAUUGUGCCAUUGGAAGUGGUGAGGUUUUUUUCCUGAAGCAAUAUUGAGAAUGUGAUAAACCUGAAUCUAAAAGGGGCUUAUAUUUGCCAAUUUUCAUUCUGCAUGGACGAUCGCUUCUAUCUACAAAAGAGGAGUCAAAACCUGUAACGAUUAACAACUUGCUUGGCCUCACUGUUAGGAAUCCUGUGCUUUUUUUGUUUUUUUCCCUCUCCAUUCCACUGAUAUUUUAAACAAAAUCAGGUCCACAAGACAACAGGAAAAAAUAUGAAGGGACUAGUAGUGCCCUUGCCUCUCAGGUGCUGAUAUUUUGAUAGCUACAAUAUGUUUACCGUUGCCUGAACAUUUUCAAUUGAAAAGUCUGAUCUUUUGUAAGAAGCUACAUAGCUUCAGCUCCUGCCAAUUUCAGCUGAAUUUUAUGAUAUGUGUAUUAACAAAUCCAUAGUAGGCAAACAACAGCUACACAGGCAUGAUCGUGAGAAUGGUAGAAGAACCCGGGCAGGUAAGUUAUUGAAACGCGGAUUAACUCCUGUUUGUCUGGGCUAUAGCUGCUUCCAACAGCUGCUAGUCACAGACCUCUCAAACACUGCCUGCACUGAGGUUAUGUUUCUCAGCCUGCUUUCCAUUAAAAAAAAAGAAAAAGAAAAAGAAAAAAACCCACCACUUAUUUGGUUGUAAAUGGAAACCCACUGUGGCAACACACUUUGAAAUAGUCCAAGGAUUAAUUUCAGAAGGUAAAAAUCAAUCUUUCAAUUAAAAGGAUUGAGAACUGCAAGGGCAUUAUACCUGUUAUACACAAAGGCUGUAAGUAAAAAUCCAAAUGCUAGGUAGCCUGACAGCUAAGGAAAGACUGUUUUAGAACUUUGCAUUCGUUGUUGCUCCAAGGCAAAAUAUAUCUGAUUUUCAAAUAAAAGAACUGUAUUAAAAAUGACAUAGUCAAUACAGCCUAUAACCUCUGCUGGGAUAAUACUGCUGUGUUCGAACUCACAGCAGAGGGAAAGACACUGCUAGCUGUCAUAAGCAAGUUUCUUCCCAUAUAAAGCAUAUAGUUCAUCUAUUUCGAAUGCAAAAUUUUAUACUUCUGCUUUAUCACCUACUAACUACCAUUCAAGCAGGCUCCUAUUGUGAAUUCCAGUAAGUACAAAGCUGCUGUCUGAUUAUAGUAGUAUGUGUUGUGUAUACAUAGAAAUUGUAUUCAGAAAGGUACAUUUUUAAUAUACAUAAGUCAUUUCCUUGGUUUGUGUAUUUUUGUGAAGUUAAGAUCUUGUGUGCCUUGUCUGGCAUUAAGUAAAUAAAGUGCACUGAUAAGUAU